CCCGGGUGCUGACAACCCACGCUACGCCACUGCCAGUGGGUGCUGCUGGAUACUCUCUGGGUGUGAAAGGGCUUGAAGAAAUGCAACCCUGAUAGAGAGACAGCUUUCUCCCUUGCUCUCCUCCACCCCCCAUUAACGCCUUGCAGGCAGGCGCCCCUCAGGCCAGUCUGCAUAGGAACUGAGGUGCCACAGUCAAUUCAGCUAUGCAGCUGGAGCUUUUCUGAGUGGCUGUUAGCAAGCACCCCACUCCCUUUGCCAUCUCCCCUGGGGAACUUGUAGGUUGCAUUCGAGGAAACUGCUGCAAACUGUUUUGAAACCAGUAGAUAGGAGGAGUGUGACGGGAAUCUAACCAGUAAAUAAUGAAGAGUUGCUUUGCCCAGGGGGAAUGUGAAGAGAACAGCGAUGGCAAUGGCUAAACAAGCAAAGCGCUUCUGAAGGGAGCCACUGGCGCUGCAGAUGAGCAGAGCCACACAAGCAGCACAAAUGGUGUACAAACAGGAAUCCGCUUAAUUCAUUCCUCAGCCCCUCUGCUUCCAGACCUGCUCCUUUCCAGUGGCACCCAGGGAAUCCUACCUUGACCUCCUGCCCUUAGGGCAGCUCAGCCAAUCCCUGCAAGAGGCGUCAGUGUUCUUCAUUGCUCUCAAAAUCCUUUUGCAGACUGCAAUGUAGAUCCUUCUACCACCUUGCAAACCUAGAUUCCCCAAGGGCAGAAACAUCUUGCAUUUCUCAAGUCCAUUUUAGAAAACCCUAAACAACAGCCCACAGCUUUGAGAAUGACCCUUGUUGUCUUUCCAUCCACCCCCUUAGCAACCCGAUUGGAAAGAAAUCGUGAACAAAAAGUUGAAGUUCCCGGAAGGCCUCCUCAACGCCAUCCAAGACGGGCAGCUGAUGAAGGUCCAGCAGCUGCUGCAGGUGAGCGACGGGAUCCUGAGGCAGCUGGAUGAGGCCGAGGACCGGGCGUGGCGAGAGGCUCUCAACCUGGCCAUCCGCACGGGCGGCGAGGAGAUCACCAAGACGCUCCUGCGCAUUGUCAAGUUUGACUUCCGUCAGAUCCACGAGGCCUUGCUGGUUGCCGUGGAUACCAACCAGCCCACCGUGGUCAAGCUGCUGCUGGACCGCCUGGACCAGGAGAAAGGCCGCAAGAUGGACAUCAAGUCCUUCUCCUCGGCCUUGUUUGACAACUCCAUCGACAACUCACGCUUUGCCCCGGGCGUGACGCCCCCUCACCUUGGCUUGCGAGAAGGACCUCUACGAAAUCGUGGACAUGCUCAUGAAGAAAGGCCACGCCAUCCCGGGGCCGCACAAGGUCUCGUGCUCCUGCCUGGAGUGCUCCAACGGCCGCAAGUUUGACCUGCUCAAGUUCUCGCUCUCGCAUCAACACUUACAAGGGCAUCGCCAGCCGGGCGCACCUUUCCAUCGCCAGCGAAGACGCCAUGUUGACGGCCUUCAAGCUCAGCCGGGAGCUCAAGCGCCUCUCCAAGAAGGAGCCCGAAUUCAAGGUCUGUCUCUUGCUGCACCAAGCAUGUAGGUCAAGGUGGGGAACAUCUACGGCCCUCCAGGUAGUGAUGGACCACAACUCCCAUGAUCCCUGAACAUAGGCCAUGUGGGCUAGGAGUCCAACAACAUCUGGAAGGCCACCGGUUGUUCCUCAGCCCUGACAUCGACGUUGCUUUUUAAUUCCACAAUAUUCACAUCACAAGCCUAAUUCUUUUUAGUGGAAGGAGUUGGGGUGGGGAGUCCAUGUAGACCACACUAUGCAUCUGGGCAAUUCAGAUUCUGCACCCAGAAAAGCCGUUCUCUUCAGAAUUGGGGUGAGCCAGACCCUUCCUUGACCGUGCCUUGUCCUUGUCCCCCCGUCCAGCCCGAGUACCUGGCCCUGGAGCAGCUGUGCCAGGAGUUUGCCUUUGAGCUGCUGGGAAUGUGCCGCAACCAGAGCGAGGUGACGGCCGUCUUGAAUGACGUGGCGGAUUCCUCGAAUGAUGAGGAAGAGGAGGACCUCGAUGACCAGGCCUUCGAGGAGGGCAUCCCCAACUUGUCGAGGCUUCGCCUGGCUGUCAACUACAACCAGAAGCAGGUGGGCUUGUCAGAGGAGCAUGGUCCGGGGGCAGAUGGGAGCAGAAAUAAAUAAAUUUAUACCCCGCCUUUCCCGGUUCAGAAAACCGGGCUCAGGGCGGCUAACAACAGAUUUAAUUGAUGCAACUUAAUUGAUGCAACAACAAAAAAGCAUAAAAUACAGUAUAAAACGUGAAUAAUAAAUUCAGAAUUCAAAAAUCAAUUUAGGGGGAAAAUCCAUCCAAUAAACAUUAGAUGAUCACCAGGGCUAGCUGGCUAACUUAGUCCUAUUUGGGCCAGCGAGGAGACCAGGGGAGAAUUAGCUGUGGGAUCUCAGAGCGGGUAAUCUUCAUAAAAAGGGAAGGAAGGGGAAGAAAAGAUCAGGCUAAGUUCAAAUUGAAAGCCAGGCAGAAUAGCUCUGUCUUACUGGCCCUGAGGAAGGAGGUUAAAUCCUGAAGGGCCCUGGUCUCAUGGGAGAGAACAUUACACCAGGUCGGAGCCAUCACUGAGAAGGCCCUGGCCCUGGCAGAGGAUAGUCUGGCUUCCUUAGGGCCCGAGACCUCUAAACUAUGGUUAUUCAUGGACCUCAAGGUCCUCUGCGGGGCAAACCAGGAGAGGGCCCUAAGCCACAAAGUGCCGGAUUUAAGGCAGUGUGGGCCGUUCUCCUGCACAGGGCGCCAAGCCUUUGCUUUGAUCCAGGAGAGACCUUUCCACCUUAUUUCCCCCCCAGUUUGUCGCCCACCCCAUCUGCCAGCAAGUGCUGUCGUCCAUCUGGUGCGGGAGCCUGCAGAGCUGGAGGGGCAGCACCAAUCUCUGGAAGGUCUUCAUCUCCAGCUCCAUCUUCAUGGGGAUGCCUUUCCUGUGCCUCCUCUACUAUGUGGCCCCCAGAUCCAAGGUGGGUGGUUUGUGUCCAGGCAUAACGCACCAUCCUCUUCCCAGCCAACGUGGUCUUGGCCUCUUCAGCCUGUAGGCAGCUUGGGAGUCCUCCUUGUUGAUCUCCUGGUGCCUACUGAAUUCCGGGUAUUUCUUCCAGCAUGCUUUUUUUUUGCAGUCUGUAUUGUUUAACCCCUGAAAGACUACUGUAGUUAAUUGCUAUUUAUGCGGAUUUCUUUUUUUAAAAACAUAUUUUUUAUCAGUUUUUUAAAUAUCAUUUUCAACAGUUAUUAAACAUACGGUACUUUUAUAUCUUAUCCAAUUCUUUUUUUACUUCCAUCAAUCACAUCUGAAAAUUUUCCAAUCUUAUCUCUUAAUAUACACUUCUUAUUUUCACUAUUACAUUUAAAUCUCGUAACUAAUGUCUCUCUUCUUUCUCUUCUUUGCAAUAUUUCAUAUAUUUCUCCUUACAAAACUUGUAGUCCUACUAGCGUAAUUUGUUGAUUACAGUUGCUCUUCAAAUAGUUCGUAUAUUUCUUCCAAUUUUCUGUGAACCUCUGGUCCUGCAGGUUUUGAAUCCUUCCUGUCAUUUUAUCUAAUUCUGCGUCGUCCAUUAAUUUCGUCUGCCAUUCCUCUUUCGUCGGUAUUUCUUCUGGCUUCCAUUUCUGGGCUAACAAUACUCUUGCCGCUGUUGUUGCAUAUAAAAACAAUUUUACAUCCUGUCUACCUGAAGGAGCGUCUCCACCCCCAUCGUUCUGCCCGGACACUGAGGUCCAGCACCGAGGGACUUCUGGCGGUUCCCUCCCUCUGAGAAGCCAAGUUACAGGGAACCAGGCAGAGGACCUUCUCGGUAGUGGCGCCCGCCCUGUGGAACGCCCUCCCACCAGAUGUCAAAGAGAACAACAACUACCAGACUUUUAGAAUACAUCUGAAGGCAGCCCUGUUUAGGGAAGCUUUUAAUGUUUGAUGUAUCACAGUAUUUUAAUAUUCUUUUGGAAGCCGCCCAGAGUGGCUGGGGAAACCCAGCCAGAUGGGCAGGGUAUAAAUAAUAAAUUAUUAUUAUUAUUAUUAUUAUUAUUAUUAUUAUUAUUAUUAUCUAUUAAUAUCCUCACCCUAUAAUGCCAAGUAAAAAAUGCUUCUGGUUUUUUUAGAAAUGCAGAUUUCUUAAUAUUUUUGAUGGAACGGAAAUGGCCUUUGUGACAUUAUCCAUGCCAGACUUGCACAUCACCAUAACUGGUUGGGGCUGAUGGAUGUUAUAGUCCGAAACACCUGGAAGGCAGCGGGUUAAGGCAGGCUGAUGUGUGUCUGUGGGCGCAUGCCCUCUCCUAACAUGCUGUGUGCCACUUCUCUCAUCAGCCUGCCAAAAUGCUGAAGAUCCCCGUGAUCAAGUUCCUUCUGCAUUCAGCCUCGUAUGUCUGGUUCCUGGUCUUCCUGCUGGCAGAGUCGCUGGUGCUGGAGUACAACAACGAGACCUUUUCGGGGCGGAACCAGGACUUCUGGGAGACUUCGCUGCACAUGAUAUGGGUGGCAGGUCUGUGUGGCCCAGGUCAGACUGGCAGUGGCACUCCUCCUCGCGGCCCAAGAUGUCCCCUGAACCCAUGGCCUCUUCCCCCAAGGAUGGGGAACCAGAGCCCUGGGCCAUGGCAAGGACCAGCCAAGGUUGUCCCUCCUCCAGCUGUGGCCAGUGGUGGGUUUUGAUCCCCUGUGCUUUCCUCCUCCAGGUUUCUUCUGGUUUGAGUGCAAAGAGGUUUGGAUUGAGGGCUUCCGCAGCUACCUCUUGGACUGGUGGAACUUCCUGGACAUCGUCAUGCUCAGCAUGUACUUGGCCUCCUUUGUCCUCAGGCUCCUGAUAUUCUUCCAGGGCCGUGUUUUCUGUCUGGAUAACAAGGAGUCUGCAGAAUGCCGUUACUACACAAAAGCGGGUGAGCGCCUCCCACAAGCUGGGGUCUCGUUCCUUCUUCUGUGUUGCGAUUCCGUGAGCUCUGGCUUCCGUCCGGGGUCCCAUUGCAUCAGCAGCGGUUUAGUCAUCUUCGCUAAUCUUCUCUACUCUAGAGAAGAUUGGGAAACGUUUAUUGAAUAUAUGGGGAAUAAUGGCAUACAGCUGAAAACACUGGCAGCAUUAAGAUAAAUUCAGCAGUGUAAAUCAGUUUUGAUGGGUGCAAUAAUGGAAUACUGAAUGGUAUAGUUUUUGUAAAUUAUGCAGGGAUUUGUGAUAUGUAAAAUGAACCAUGGAAAGAGAAGAAGUCAAGUCAUUGAUAUCUUAAGGAUGUAAAAAUGAGUUCUUUAAAUUGUAAAGCAGAAAGUUUAAUAAAAAUUAUAUACACGAAGAAGAAGAAGAAGAAGAAGAAGAAGAAGAAGAAGAAGAAGAAGAAGAAGCAGAGGUUUAGUCCUGCUGGCUACGUGACCUGGAAAGCUGUCUGUGGACAAACGCCGGCUCUCUCGGCCUGAAAGCAAGAUGAGUGCCACAACCCCAUAGUCGCCUUUGACUGGACUUAGCCAUCCAGGGGUCCUUUACCUUUUGACCGUUUACUGCCUCCAUUGGUGCACCUGUUUGAACACAGAGGAAGUAAAAUUCACAUUUCCCUUUGACAUUAGAUUGCCUGAGAUCAUGUGAGUUUCAAUUAACCACAAUGGCUAUGUUUCACUUCCACUGUGUGAAGUCCCAGGGCUUGGAGACUCAGGGGGUUCCUGCUACUGAGCUUCCCUUUGGGGAAUCAGAUUGGCCACUGUCAGAACAGGAUGCUGGACUAGAUGGGACUUUGGCCUGAUCCCACAGCCAGUUUCUUCUAAGAUUCCUCAGAUUCUUCAUUCUCUUUGCAUCUUAAAUUCAGUUCUUGCUUAUCACAAAUGUGAGAGACGUGAAAUUCCAGCCAUUUUUAAAAUUAUUCAUUAAUUUAGAGAAAUCCUGGCUCCAAACCGAGCCCCUAGCAAUAUUUGCAUCCAAGAGAGAUAAGCAAAUGCACACCUGCACAUUGUUGAAAUAAUAUUGCCAUGCAACUGGGAAAGAUUUGUUUGUUUUUCCUUUGGGAGAGGGUGAUACAAACUGGGAAUUGCUGUCACAUGAUUAAACACAAUCCAGGUCCCCACUGCCUUUGCCCAGCCUUGCCCACCCUGCUGCCCUCCAGACAUUUUGAACUGCAUCUCCCAUCAGCCCAAGCAAAAUAUGGACACUCUGGCAGGGGCUGAUGGGAGUCAGGGAAGGCAGCCUUUAGAACAGGGGUCCCCAAACUAAGGCCCGCGGGCUGGAUAACGCCCGAGGGACUCGUUUAUCCAGCCUGUGGUGACCCCUGCCACCCGCUGCCGCCGCCCACUCUUACCGGCUCCUCACUGUGCGACUGCCCACUUCUGGGCUGGAGGAGCACCGGAAAUAGCUUGUGCUCAUGCGCAAGUGUUAUUUGCGCAUGCACAAGUGUUAUUUGCACAUGCGCAAGCGUUAUUUCCGGUGCACAUCUGGGUCGGAGGAGGCCUGUGCGCAUGCACACAAGCUCUUUCCGGUGCUCCUCCGACCUGGAAGUGCACCGGAAACAGCAUGUGCGCACGCGUAUGGGCACGCGCUCCCCUGCCCUCUGGCCCGCUGCAUGAUCGGCACUGAAGACACCGGCCUGAGGUGCGUUAAGUUUGCUGACCCCUGCUUUAGAAGGUAAAGGAAAAGGCUUCAGACAUUGGUACAGCAACGUACAAGGAAGGGCUGUGACCGAUGGAGACAAGGGAGCAGGGAAGCUGACUUGCAAAAGGUGUGCGCCACCUGACACAGAUGUCACCUGGCACUCAUCCUCCCUCCCUUUUGUGACCCAGACCGUCAGGAGUGGCACACCGAAGACCCCCAGUUCAUGGCCGAGGUGCUCUUUGCAGUGACCAGCAUGCUGAGCUUCACCCGUAUGGCUUACAUCUUGCCCGCCCACGAAACUUUGGGGACCCUGCAGAUCUCCAUUGGCAAGAUGAUCGAUGACAUGAUCAGGUGUGUGUGUGGGAUGCUGCCCUAGCCUCUUGGCUUUGUUUUGCUGGUUUUAAUGUUGUAUUUGUGAAGAAAUCAAAUUGAGAACAAUAAUAGCUGUUAUAGGAAAAACUCUGCUCCUUUUCCCUUAUGGGGUAUCCAAGAGCCCGUUGUAGUUGUUGUUUAGUCGUUUAGUGGUUUCCGACUCUUCGUGACCCCCUGGACCAGAGCGCGCCAGGCACUCCUGUCUUCCACUGCCUCCCGCAGUUUGGUCAAACUCAUGCUGGAAUCUUCGAGAACACUGUCCAACCAUCUUGUCCUCUGUCGUCCCCUUCUCCUCUUUCCCAGCAUCAGGGUCUUUUCUAGGGAGUCUUCUCUUCUCAUGGGGUGGCCAAAGUAUUGCAGCCGCACCUUCAGGAUCUGUCCUUCCAGUGAGCACUCAGGGCUGAUUUCCUUAAGAAUGGAGAGGUUUGAUCUUCUUACAGUCCAUGGGACUCUCAAGAGUCUCCUCCAGCAUCAUAAUUCAAAAGCAUCCAUUCUUCAGCAAUCAGCCUUCUUUAUGGUCCAACUCUCACUUCCAUACAUCACUACUGGGAAAACCAUAGCUUUAACUAUACAGACCUUUGUUGGCAAGGUGAUGUCUCUGCUUUUUAGGGUGCUGUCUAGAUUUGUCAUUGCUUUUCUCCCAAGAAAUUUCAUGACUGCUGUCACCAUCUGCAGUGAUCCCAAGAGCCCGUAUAGAAUCCUUAAGUACGUUCCCUGUUGUUAGGAGAAAAUAACAGAGGCCAACCAUAGUAUAUUGAGAAGCAAAGCGGCUAGUGAGCCUGAUCUUUAUUAGCUGUUGCAACGGGGUCCCCACUCACCACACGCAGGAGGGAGGAGGAACCCAGAACAAUGGUGCGCAAGUCCUUAUAUAGACUUUUGAAACUGCCCACCCUGUUGCUCAAGACCACUCCGAAAAACAUCAUACAUACAUCACAGGAGGAGGGUCUACAGCAGAAAUACAUCGCAGAAGGAGGCGGUCUGCAGCAGAAAUCCUGUCUGCCAGAGAAUGUUAGAAAAAGGUUGGAAAAGAAUAUUAGGCCGCAUUGGCAGACAUGGUAUAAUGGAAUAAGUAAAAAUGAAGUGUAAAAUGAGGAUAGAGGAGGAUUUAAUAUUUUCGAAUGUUAAAAUAAGUAAAAGAAAAGAAGGUUAGAAGGAUUUGCUGGAGAUACGAUCUAAACUAGAAUACAAAGCAGGGAGGUGAGAGGAAGUCAUGGAAAUAAGUAAAAGGGAAAAAGGUUGUAAAGGUCUAAUUUGAUUAUUGUUAUUUUUUACUGUGAUGCAUGUUUAUUCUUUGUUGAGUUUUUUUUCUUUUCUCUUUUUUAUUGUCUGUUUUUUGUAACAUGUGUAUGGUUUGUUUUUUCUUCUUUUUUUGUAACUUUAAAAUUGGAAUAAAUAUUCUUAAAAAAAAAAAAAAGAAAUCCUGUCUGCCAGGAUACCUGAUAACGGUCACUGAAUGGCUUUACCUGGGGAGCCUGGCCAUUCUUUUGUGAUGGUAAAUACUUCAGGUCAUAGGCUCACCCUAUUCAUGCACAAAUACACAGCCUUAAGACAGGAUUUUUAAGCAAAAAGACAAAGGGAAGGCUUUCCCCAUUUCCUCCCUCCUUUGGGGGAGUCAAAAUGGUUUCAGGAUUGUUCUCCGGUACUAUUUCAGACACAUGGUUUAUAUACUUAUGCAUGGGUUUGCCUUGUACAUUUAUGAAUGUUUCUUUUAUAUUUGGGACCUUCGAAUUCUUAUAACAGGUGACCUGCUUUUCUUUAGCUUUUUGGCUUCGUUCUGCUUCUCCUCCCCUCCAGGUUCAUGUUCAUCAUGGUGAUCAUCUUGACGGCCUUCCUGUGUGGGAUGAACAACGUCUACGUCCACUACCAAGAAUCUGAAAAGCUGGGGAGGUACGGCAGCUGGCUUGGAGGCGUCCGGGGUGGCCAAAAAGGAUGAGAUUGGACAGCUAGGAGAUUGUCCAGGGUGCUGGGCCAAAGUCCAGUGUUUUGACCUCCUUGCCAAGCAGGUUCCGAACCUGGCCAGUACUCAAAAGGGGAGACCACCCAGGAACCCUAUGUAUGUAGGGCCCCCACAAAGAUAGGAGCCAAACCCAUUGCUCCACCCACUUUGCCUCCAGCUCUGCCCACCACGGGAAUGCAGCCCCUGAGAAGGAUCCCCACAAGGGAAAGAAGCUCUUGAUCUGAAGAUGGUUACCUAGACCUGAUCUUGGCUCUCAGACUCUUUGCGACUAUAGCAGGAAGCAGUAGUCAGGUGGCAGCUCUUUGGCUGCCUCAGGAGGGUCCAAGAUCCCCAUUUAUUGUUAUUUACAUAAUUUAUAUUCCACAAAAGUACAGAAAUCAGCUUACACAAAAUCAGCAUAGUAUAAAAAUUAAGGCUGAAUGCAAUCCAGCUGUUUUGGGUCUCAGGAGAAAACCCAAAAUCCAGUGUCACCACCUGCUCAAAUGGCAAAACCAGUGAGUUGCCUGAGGGCGCCCCCAGACUGUCAGCAUUUCACGAGAGGGAUUCAAGCGUGUGCUGGAACUUCAGGUGCGCACAAUUAGAAUGAAUUGAGGGGCUCUGUUGUCCACUUAAAAAAGAAAGAAAGUGGCUUUUUACAGAUUGGAAAGUGGCAGGGAAAUAAUGGAAUUAUAGAAUCUUAGAGCUGGAAGGGACACAAGGGUCAUCUAGUCCAAACCCUGCAGUGCAGGUGUCUCAGCGAAAGCAGUAGCUUUAAAUGCAGUAGCAGGAAGACCAGGGCCGGAUGUAGGUUUGAUGAGGCCCUAAGCUACUGGAGGUAAUGGGGCCCUUUCUAUGUCCAGCUGUCCUUUGUCAACAACAAAUUGUUGCUGUUUUUUGUGUUGAAUAUAUGCUAUAUGGUAGUUUAUGAACCCAGUAGGUAUCUAAAGCCACUUGCACAUAACAAAAUAUGUAUUUUAUCCAAGUAAUUGUUGAACUGAAAACCAAUUAAGAAGAAGUAUAUUAAUAGUGAAAUAAUUAUUAAGCUCUAACUUAAAAUGAUUUUUUUAUUCAUAACAAACUUAAUAAUGCAAACACGUUGGCAUUUGGAAAUAACAAAAGUUCCUUUAGAAACACAAUUUACAGACACUCAUAAUCUAGUCUCUAAAAACCAGUCUCUAUGCAACCAGUCCAUGCAGAAUGUAGGCACCCUAUAUAUAGAAAGGAGCAAACCAGUGAUAUUUUAGGGAGCAGGCUAGCAGGCGGGGCCCAUGACUUACAUCACAGGAGCCUACACAACACAAAACACUGUUGCUGUAUGUAGGUUUUAUUUUAUUUGUUUUUUAUCUUAUAUUUUGCAAAUGCACAUCCAGUUUUUUCCCUUUAAAUUUUUUUUGGGGCCCCCAAGAAAGUGGGGCCCUAAGCUAGAGCUUGUUUAGCUUAUACAUAAAUCCAGCACUGAGGAAGAUGUGUAAAUACCCCACAUGUAUCAGGAUGCUCUUUGUCCUAUAACUGCCCCACAAGCAAAUCAAAAUGAAAGGUCGAUGAAGACUGGAUAUAGUAAUCUAAACUCUGCAUAAGCUUUGUGCAAGCAGAUCAGGAUGAAUGUUGAAAUAAACACUGAACGAGAAUGUCCCCUGGAGGAAGCCUGGUGGGAGAGGGUACCCUGACCCGAAACCCCCAGCUGUUUCAGCUUGCUAUCCGUUCUCCCAUGCAGCUUCAACGAGACAUUCCAGUUCCUCUUCUGGACCAUGCUUGGGAUGGAGAAACACGAUGUGGUGGACAUGCCCAAUUUCUUCGUAGCUCAGCUGGUGGGGAGGGUGCUGUAUGGGGUCUUCACUAUCGUCAUGGUGGUUGUCCUCCUCAACAUGCUCAUUGCCAUGAUUACAAGGUCCUUCCAGAAAAUCGAGGUGAGUGCUGAACCAGGAGGCAAGUAAGAGGGACCCACCUUAUCCUUUGCAUGGCAUCUUACGUCUACUGGAAUUGGACCGGGGUUUGGGAAGUGUGGAACAGAGAGAUGGAUCUCCAGAUCCAGAUCCAUACUCUACAUCAGCAGUUCUCAACCUGUGGGUCCCCAGAUGUUGGACUACAACUCCCAUCAACCCUGAGCUCUGGCCUUGCUACAUCUGGGGACCCACAGGUUGAGAAAGGCUGCUCUACCUUCUCCAGGGACUUGCAGCUAGAGAUGGGAGGAGGCAGCAACUUCCGUCUUGCGCUGGGUUCAUCACAUCUUAGGGCUGUUUCCAUUCCACUACAAUUCAGCUUCCUCUUGCUGUCUGCUGUGGCCUGUACUUAGGUAAUUAAUUCCAAGUGGAAAGGAAGCAUCAAAAACAAUACAGUAGAUCAGGCAUAGGCAAACUUGGCCCUCCAGAUGUUUUGGGGACUACAACUCCCAUCAUCCCUGACCACUGGUCCUGUUAGCUAGGGAUGAUGGGAGUUGUAGUCCCAAAACAUCUGGAGGGCUGAGUUUGCCUAUGCCUGCUGUAGAUAGACUGGAAGGGGAAAAAGAGCAAAUGUCCACUUGUGUUUCCUUGUGUGGUGGUUUCCAUUCCAUUGUGUGGGGUUUCCACUCCAAUUUGCAUUUUCAACGGGCUCCUCUGACACAUCCCUACUUGUAGCCAAGAGAGGCACCUCAGUGCACCGUAUCCACCAUGUUUCUGGGUGGUGCACAAUGGCUCUCAAUUGCUAUUGGUCAGAUUCACUGGGGCCUCCCCCUUGCACUGCUGAUCUCCAGACAAUGCUGCUACUCCCGGGAGACGCAGCUGCUGUUGGUCUUUGCUGUCCAUUCCGUGUUUCUGGAUUGCAAAAUGGUACAGCAAUUGAGAGUCGCAGGCUCAGUCUCCAACUAGGGCUAGGCAAGACACGCACCCACCACACCCCCUCUGGAGAGUUGCUGCCAGUCAUUAAGCUAGCUCAGGGUUUCCCAGAUUUGGGUUUCCAGCUGUUUUGGACUACUGUUCACAUCUGGUCCCGCUAGCUAGGGAUGAUGUGAGUUGUAGUCCCCAAACAGCUGGAGACCCAAGUUUGGGAAACCCUGAGUUGAAGGACUCAAAGGACUGGCUCAGAAUGAAGUAGCUCCUUGCAUUCCUGUGGCUUAAGGGAAGACCCACAGCUCAGAGGUAGCACACCUGCUUGCGUGAAAAAGGUUCCGUCUCCAAUGGCAGCUGCAGGCAGGGCUAGUAAUGCCCCCCCAUCUGAAACCCCGGAGAGCCAUUGCCUAGCACUGUUAAGAAUCCUGAGAGAGAUGGACCAAUUGUCUGACAACUUUCCUGUGUUCCUAUGUAAGCCUGCAGGCAAGGACUGGGAGUUUGUUUUUCUUUUCUUAAUGAUCUUUUUGGACCGAAGAGCACAGCAAAGAUGCUCUAGAUAAAUAAUAAUAAUAAUAAUAAUAAUAAUAAUAAAUUUUUAUUUAUACCCCACCUUCCCCAGCCAAGAUCGGGCUCAGGGCAGCUAACACCAGGUAUAAAAACAAUUGAUUAAAAUACAACUUAAAAACAAAAUUAAGUACAACAUUAAAAUGCAGCCUCAUUUCAAUCAAAAACUUUUUUGGGGAUGAAAACGUAAAAUCUUCACCAAGGCCAACUAUCCAGACUGGUCCUACGUGGGCCAGAAAAAAGCCAGGGAAGUCCCCAAAUAGGAGUUCCAUCACAGAAGGAGAAAGGAAAAAGGAAAGAGGGGGAGGGGAUCAAGUUGAUUCCAAGCCAAAGGCCAGGCGGAACAACUCUGUCUUACAGGCCCUGUGGAAAGAAAUCAGAUCCUGCAGGGCCCUGGUCUCAUGAGACAGAGCGUUCCACCAAGUUGGGGCCAGUGCUGAAAAGGCCCUGGCUCUGGUUGAGGCUAAUCUGACUUCCUUAGGGCCCGGGACCACUAGGGUGUUGCUAUAUAUGGACCUUAAGGUCCUCCGCGGGGCAUACCACCCCUCGUAUUUACCGGAGUCUUCCUUGCCACCUCUUCUCUCCUGUGCUCUUCAGAACGAUGCCGACGUGGAGUGGAAGUUUGCCCGCUCCAAGCUCUACUUGUCUUUCUUCAGAGAAGGCUUGACGCUGCCAGUGCCCUUCAACAUCAUCCCGUCACCAAAGUCCAUCUUCUACGCCGUCAGGUAAUUUGUCAGGCUGCUCCUGAGACCCUUGAGGUGGGGAGACUCUGAUAGUUCUGGGUUAAACUUAGCCCUCGGCAGCAGACGACUGGCUUACUUUAUGGACUGGCACGUUCUAUACAUGCCCCCUCUCUGCAGAACUGUUGAUGCUUUUACAUUUUUACAAUGUUCCUUCUGCAUUUGCCAGGAACCAGUCCUUGAAUUUGACAGCCCAUAAUAGCAGGGCACCAUCAUUGUAUUAUUUUUGGAACCCACCCAAACUUUUUAUUAUUAUUAUUAAAAAAGGUAAAGGGACCCCUGACAGUUAAGUCCAAUCACAAACGACUCUGGGGUUGCGGCGCUCAUCUCGCUUUGCUGGCCGAGGGAGCCGAUGUUUGUCCACAGACAGUUUUUCCGGGUCAUGUGGCCAGCAUGACUAAGCCACUUCUGGCGAACCAGAGCAGCGCACGGAAACGCUGUUUACCUUCCCGCCGGAGCGGUACCUAUUUAUCUACUUGCACUUUGAUGUGCUUUCAAACUGCUAGGUUGGCAGGAGCAGGGACCGAGCGACGGGAGCUCACCCUGUUGCGGGGAUUCGAACUGCUGACCUUCCGAUCAGCAAGCCCAAGAGGCUCAGUGGUUUAGUUAUGUUAUUUAAAAAUGAACUUUUAUUGUGUGUAAAUGUUUUAAGAUUGCUGACUUUAUUUCUGUUUACAUGUUAAAUUUGUUUCUAAUCCAUGCUUCAAAAUAUUAUUAAGCAAUACUUGAGGGCUUAUCCACACUUCCUCUUGUUCCUGCUGCUUUCCCCUGGGGGAAAGACGCUGCUUAGUGCUCAAUCGGAGCAAGCAGCAAUUUAGUCCCCAGAUUGCCAUUGGUUCCAAUCUAUCGCUAAGCAGGUGCAUGUUUUCCCUUGGAAAGGAGAGGAGGAAGGGGGAAAGUGCUCAGACCUCUGCCUAGAAGGUGCAGAUGAAGUAGAAAACCACUCAGACUUGCAUAACCCCCAACAUUUCUCCAAUGAAAAUAGGGACAUCCUAUUCAACAACAACAACAACAACAUUUAUACCUUGCCCAUCUGACUGGGUUGCCCCAGCUGCUCUGUGGGGCUUCCAACUUAUAUAAAAACAUCAUUAAACAUUAAACGUAAAUAAUUUCCCUAUACAGGGCUGCCUUCAGGUGUCUUCUAAAGGUUGCAUAGUUACUGAUCUCCUUGGCUCAAGGUGGUGUGUCUGGGGCCGAGUCAGGAUGGCCAUCCAUCAACAGAUAGAGUUGGGUGUCAUCGGCAUACUGAUGGCAACCCAGCCCAAAACUCCGGACAAGCUGGGCGAGGGGCGAUAAAGAUGUUAAAAGCAUCGGGAGAGUAUCGCACCCUGAGGCACUCCACACACCAAGGAGUGGCGGGAUGACAAUUCCCCCCCAAGCGCCACCCUCUGUCCCCGACCGGAGAGAAACGAGCGCAGCCAUUGAAGGACUGUGCCCUGGAUCCCCACGUCGGCAAGGCGGUGGUCCAGGAGUUCAUGAUCAACCAUGUCGAAGGCUGCUGACAGAUCUAGAAGAAUCAGCAGCCCCGACCCGCCUCGAUCCAGCUGCCUACGGAGAUCAUCUGUUAGGGCGACCAGAGCCGUCUCGGUCCCAUGACCAGCGCGGAAGCCAGACUGGAAUGGAUCUAGAGCCGAUGUUUCAUCCAGAAACCUACCAAGCUGUUCAGCAACCGCUCUCUCAAUCACCUCACAUGACUCCAUACACUCCAACAUUUCUCCAAUGAAAAUCGGGACGUCCUAAGGAAAAGUGGGACAUCCCAAAAUCAGGUCAGAAACCAGGACCGCUUCUGUAAAUCCACGACUGUCCUUAGAAAAUAGGGACACUUGCUUUCUAGGCAAAAUAGAAGCAGACGUUUGUCCUUUGCAAAACACUGAAGAGGUUUUUUUGUCAAGUAAUCAGCAUGUAAAUUUUGUUAAUUUAGUAGUAAUAAUAAUAAUAAUAAACAUUACAGUCCGCCUUGUUCACAGGCCUCUCGGCUCACCUCUUUCUUCCCCCUUCUUCUCCCAGGGGCCUCUUCCGCUUCCUGUGCUGUUACAAACCAAAGCGCCAGCAGAAAUACCCCCCCAUCUCAACCAUUGUAAGUUCCCUUUGGGGCUGUUUCAAGGGAGUGUUCCUUGCACCCACGACUCUGCUUGCAGUGGGCUGUCGUGCUCUCUUCCUCAGCCUUUGGAUUUGUGCUGGGAGCGGGGAGGGAGAAGACCAUCUAGGUAGCACAUUAGAAGUGCUUUUGGCAGGGCAGCCGCAGCUGCCUGCGAGGAGAAGAAGAAGAAGAAGAGUUUGGAUUUGAUAUCCCGCUUUAUCACUACCCGAAGGAGUCUCAAAGCGGCUAACAUUCUCCUUUCCCUUCCUCCCGCACAACAAACACUCUGUGAGGUGAGUGGGGCUGAGAGACUUCAAAGAAGUGUGACUGGCCCAAGGUCACCCAGCAGCUGCAUGUGGAGGAGCGGGGAAGCAAACCCGGUUCCCCAGAUUACGAGACUACCGCUCUUAACCACUACACCACACUGGCUCUCGAGGAGGGACAGAGGGAGGGGGAGGCAGUGGGGAGGCUGGUGCUGGGAACCUGCGGCUUCGGUUUCAGUGCCCCUUGUGCUCCAUUCGGUGACAUUUAUGAAAGAAAGUUGCAUCAAUUAAAAAAUAGUUUAUAGGCCAAGUUGCUUCCGUGCUGUACAAAAAAGCCUGCGCGCUCCUGGUGCCAUAAUGUCCUGUCGUCUUCUGCUUUUCAAAUAAUCGCACAAAACAAAUGAAAAUCCCUGAAACAAUAAGUAAUCAACUAGAAAUAUUAUCUUAUGGAAAUAAACUAAAUAAUAAAAAUCAUAAAGUUUAAGGAAACAAUUAGAAAAACCUAAAACUGAACAAAGCUUUAACGGGAUGCCGGCUACAAACAUCCUUUCCCUGAACAAUUCAGUUUCCUCAGAAGGAAAUAGAAAAAUCAUAAACCUUAAAUGACCAAAAUUCAAAAAAGGGGGUAGAACUCCCAAAAAUUCUGAAGUAUUAUAAUCUUAGCUCGACCUAGGUGAAGCAAAGCGCAGUAAUAAAGGAUCUGUUUGCAUCUGUUUGCUUUUCAACUAAUUAUUUUGGAGGCAUGCCUCUUUGGGCACGCUGAAGCAUGUGCAGAGUGCUUUGCAGCCACAACCGCCUGCCUGCUAGCUUCCAGAUGCAUGCCUCCCCCCAGGGCCCUUCUGGGAGGCGUGACCCCCUCCUGUCAUGUUUCAUUUGGGAACCCUGUCACUCCCUGACUCUGCCCUUCUGCCCCCCAGUCUAACCCCUCCACGGAUGAGGGCGGCCAGCGUAUGGAGGGCCGCGCUGCCUACCGGCACCAAGUGCUAAAGGCGCUAGUGCAGCGCUACAUCGACACGGCCCGGCGGGAGUUUGAGGAGAGCCGCAGGAAAGGUAAGCAGUGUUGCCUCGGAAGGGGGAUCCCGAUGGGGUGUCAUGUGCAGAAGGGCUUGCCCACCACCCUCCCUGCCAGACGUCUGCAACUGGGUGUUAGGUUUCUGUUUUGCCACUGUGCAGUGCUUUGGAGUCACAAGACUCUGUUUACAUUCCAGAGAGACUGUUGGAAGUCUCACGGGAGACGGAUGUUGAUAUUACUGGUUUCCUGUUUCUUUGUACCAGUUGCCUCUCUGCUUUCACAGAGAGAUGAUGUAUAUUCUUUUCUGUCUGGGUAGUUAGAAAUAAAAUUCAGGUUAUUCAGGUUUAGAACUUUUUUUCAGGAUGAGAACAGAAAUCGGGCUCUGGUGGCGCAGCGGCAGCAGGAGGCCCCAUUAGCUAAAGUGGUGCUUCAGGUUAAGAACAGUUUCAGGUUAAGUACGGACCUCCAGAACGAAUUAAGUACCACUGUACUUCGUAUUAUAUAAAGCAGCCAUCUAAGCUGCAGUCAGUCUGAUUCCAGGAGCUGCUGCAAUAGAGAGCUGUGAAUCCAACAGAGCUGUGUCCUUCGUCCCUCUUUCCCACUAUUCAACACCUGUUUUCUGCAGAAGCUGCAUUCUUGGGCAACAGUUUCUCAUGCAUUCAUCCUGAGAAAGCUGAAUGUUUAUGAUUCUUCCCUCGGACCUUGUGGGGGGCCGGACUAUAUUUUGAACAAAAUAUAUAAAUGAAUUCUUAUGCCCCACAAAUAACCCAGAGAUUUUAAAUAAAAGGACACAUUCUACUCACGUAAAACCACGCUGAUUCCUGAACCAUCCACGGGGCAGAUUGAGAAGACAAUUGGGCUGGAUCCGGCCCCUGGGCCUUAGUUUGCCUACCCAUGCUUUACAGUGUUUCUGUAGAUACAGCCUAAACGGUUCCCAGUCUUAAAAAAAAUUCUCUCUAUUGUCAUUGUCCGCAGAUCUGGGGAACCGCUUGACAGAGCUGAACAAGUCCGUGGUGCGCCUCCACUCAGAGAUGAAACAUCUGCGCCACACCGUGGCCACCAACGGAACAGCGGCCAACCCCUUGGACGGGGCCAGCGUCCUUCACAAGUACAUCAUGAAGGUGCGCAGCAGCUUCCAGGGCUACGACAACGAUACAGGCAGCUCUGGGCAGGGGUCCCCUGUGGAAGCUGUUGUGCACCAGGAUGGGGCCGUUGCCGAAGAGGACGCGCAGUUGCCUCAGGAACCCUCUGAGGGACAAAAGGCGGAAGCUGAGGAAGGGCCGCCCCAGGUGGAAGCUGAGGAGAGACAGCCUGGGGAGGAGGCUCAGGAGAGGCCGCUGGAGGUGGAAGCUGAGGAGAGGCCACCCCAGGUGGAGCUGAGGGUGCCAGAGGUGGUGAUAGAUCUGGCACCAGAAGAGAACCCUGUAGGAGAGCCAGAUACCUGAGCCGCCUUUCCUCCAAAGAGGAGCGAUCUGUUUCAUUCUCAGCUGGGAUCCGCUGUAGAGCUCAGGGUGGCGUUUCCUUAGCAGCCUAGGGGGAAGUCAUGCUUGUAGAGUCUGCCCCAUUUCUGACAUGUACAAGGUGCACACACAGGAAAACACAGUGUCCUUUCUUAAGCCAACAUCCUUUGCCAAGCGAGAGAUAGUGUGUAAUUCAUCCAGCUGGCACAAGGGCUCUUUAUUGAGAGGAAUGGAAAGGCAGCGAAGAGUUACUUAAUACAGGCAAAUGAUUCUUAGAGCUGGGCUCCUGCUAUUGGCAGUUGACCAAGCCUUCAAUCCACGUUGAUUUCUGUUGUGCUUUGGGGGUGGAGCUUGGGUGGCAGAACAGGUGGCACUGCAAGAAACAGUUUGACUUUGCCAUGCCACAAGCCAGCAGAAUCACUGGGGCCAGAAGUUCCCCAAACAGUCACCAAAUAUUUUUUGGGGGGGAGAGAGCAGCCACCCCCCCAAAUUGCUCUACAAUAACUUCAACUUUGUGCACGGAUUAUACAGUGUGUGUGCCUUCAGCUUUCUUACAUUAAAUUU